ACGAACGCUGGCGGCGUGCUUAACACCUGCAAGUCGAACGGAAAGGCUCCAGCUUGCUGGAGUACUCGAGUGGCGAACGGGUGAGUAACACGUGGGUAAUCUGCCCUGCACUCUGGGAUAAGCCUGGGAAACUGGGUCUAAUACUGGAUAUGACCUUUCUCCUUAUGGGGUUUGGUGGAAAGUUUUUCGGUGUAGGAUGAGCCCGCGGCCUAUCAGCUUGUUGGUGGGGUGAUGGCCUACCAAGGCGACGACGGGUAGCCGGCCUGAGAGGGUGAUCGGCCACAUUGGGACUGAGAUACGGCCCAGACUCCUACGGGAGGCAGCAGUGGGGAAUAUUGCACAAUGGGCGGAAGCCUGAUGCAGCGACGCCGCGUGAGGGAUGACGGCCUUCGGGUUGUAAACCUCUUUCAGCAGGGACGAAGCGUAAGUGACGGUACCUGCAGAAGAAGCACCGGCUAACUACGUG
rnacentral:rRNA from 1 species